UUCGGCUUUUGGCCGACAGUUUCUUUAGAGUGCCCCUUGCGGGUAGCAACCAAAGAUAGGGGUUGCGCUCGUUGGCGGACUUAACCGUACACCUCACGACACGAGCUGACGACAGCCAUGCACCACCUGCACACAGACCACAAGGGAAUACCUAUCUCUAGGCACGUCCUGUGCAUGUCAAACCCAGGUAAGGUUCUUCGCGUUGCAUCGAAUUAAUCCACAUGCUCCGCCGCUUGUGCGGGCCCCCGUCAAUUUCUUUGAGUUUUAAUCUUGCGACCGUACUCCCCAGGCGGGGUGCUUAAUGCGUUUGCUGCGCCACCGAAGAGCAUGCUCCCCGACGGCUAGCACCCAUAGUUUACGGCGUGGACUAC
rnacentral:misc_RNA from 1 species